rnacentral:lncRNA from 1 species
AUGCAUUCACGCCUAUUACCUAUACAAACUAUACAUACAUAUAUGCAGUCUAUGUAGCAUAUACACACACAUACAUACAUUCUCCACUUUCAUCCACAUCACAUCGACGUACAUAUGUUAUCUUUUAUCAGGGAAAAACGCCGAUUACAUACACUCUGGUCAACUUCACAAAGUAGAAGAUGGAAAAUGCUGGACAUAGUCCCAAAGGCUUGUUUUGACGAUUCACCUUCAAACCCAUCUGCAAAAUUAGCUAGCUAAAUUCAGUUUUCAUUACAAUCGUUUUCUCCGUUUCUCAAUUUUGGCACAUGCAUAAUUCAAUUUACAUAAAAAUAAAAAAUAAAGAUAGUUUACAGUAAAAACCCAUUCAUUUUUUGUUUUUUCAGUUAAAAAAUAAAUUGAAACUUCAUUCUAUGUUUUGUUAGACACAACAUAUAUAUUUUUAUCUAGCUAAAUAAAUAAUUCAGUUUAUUUAAAGGACACAUAUGUAGCCAAAAAAAUCAGUUUAUACGCACAUAGUUGAAGUCAAGACAACAAUAUAUAUAAAAGAAACUGGAUUUAUAACAAAGCAUUUUGAAUUUCAUGUUCAAACUACUUAACAAAUGAUUAAAAGGUGAACAAUCUAGGCGUCUAGCACAAGAACAUAUAAUGAUAAACAAAACUAGAGGAAACUAGAGAGUAUUUGUACCUUGUACGAGGAUGCUUAUUUCUAUCGGCUAGUGAGGGUGCUUGUGUUUGUGUCUCUCGGGUCAUGAGAAGUGUAGAUAAGUUCGAGUGAGAGAACUACUCAAGUGGGAAGAAGAGAGAACUAAGAGAUUUUUUUAAAAAAACAAGAUUUGUAUUCGACAUUUGUAAAGAAGUAGGCAGAGCAAGAGAGGAUUCAGAUUUGAG